CCGCUUCUCUCUCUCUCUCUCUUUCCUGCUCCGCCGCGGUGAGACGUACUUGCUUCUCCUCACCUUCUACCGUGAUUCUGGACUAGACAGAAGACUACAGUUCAAUAAGAAGGAAACACAUUCAUUUUCAGUAUUGUUAAUAAAGAAGCUUACCUAAAAGAAGGAAAUCAAAACAAGAUAAUCUACACUGCAACUAGGGGAGGCUAUUGAAUGUGAUGGUCCCCUCAGAUGCCUAGAGGAAGAUGAACAAUGGUAAUCAGAUAUCCUAAAGUUAUCUUUAGGGCACUGGCAAAAUAGCAGCAAUGCCUGGUGGAAGCUGACUUUGUGCAUACACAUGAGAGCCCACAGAAAACUUCAAACUUCAUGGAAAUAAAACCUUCAGCUGCAGCUAAGAAUUUGGAGGUUACUGAAGGAGGUUACUUUUUCAAGAGCAGAAGUAAGGAUUCCACUGAAUUUGCUCACCAAAGAUAAGUCAGCAAAGAAAACUUACUGAAGAAUACAGACAGCAUAUCAGCUCCUGCUUUCCAGACAAACUUCCUGGGUCUUGGGAAGAAGAAAGCCUCAGACUAAGAACUCUCUCUGGACUCAGACAGCCUGAAUUCAAAUCCCAUCUCUAUUCUUACUAGUCAUAUGAA
rnacentral:lncRNA from 1 species